GUGUUUGCUACUAAUUUCAUUAACUUUUAAUUGAUACAUCUUCUGAUCUCUUGAAUAUGGUUUUAUAAGGUUGUAGCUUUGGUUAGUGUUUAUAUGAUGAGUGUUGAAUGCCAUUAUAGAAGCUUUGUGAUUCCUUGAAGUUGUGUUAGUUGGAGCUUUUGUUUUGGUUUAGCAUAGUCAAUAGGAAAAAGCACUAUGAAACCGUAGAAUACUAAGUUAUGUGCUGCUCAUGUCUUUAUGGAUUGUUCAUUAUUGUGUUAGCUAGAGCCAGAGCUUUUGUUUUUGUUAGCAUAAUCAAUAGGAAAAAGCACAAUGAAACCGUGGAUUCGUUGAAUACCAAGUUAUGUGCUGCUCGUACCUUUAUGGAUUGUUAGGUCUAAUUUCUAUUGACUCUGUUGAUGAUGAAGAAUGGUGGAGUAGUAAAAUAUUUCAUAAGAUCUUAAAUCUUUUGAAACGUUCUACUUCUCUUCGUUAAUGGCCUCUCUUCACUUGGUUAAGAGAGGCUAAGUUUUUUAAGGCCUGCUUUCUGUUGUUUACUUCAACCAAAAUGUUUUUGAAAAAUAUUUUACAAGAAAAUGUUAGUUCUCCGAUAUCUAGACCACUUCUACACAAAGUGAACAUGGCAUUAGAAGUGUAAAAUGUUUAGUGGAAGAAAAUAACUUAUCUUCUCCAAAAUACCUCUCUUCAACCUCUCCAGCCCAACCCUUCAUUUGCCUGUAGCAUCUCCCAUCCAACCGAACCCUUAUUCUGCAUGCAACUGCUGUCCCACCGGCGACUCAUUUUUGUUGGCUAUAGCCUAGCAAAAUGGGACAGAGGGAGUAGUAAUCAUUGGAAUUCCUUUUAUGUAUAAAACGUUUUCCAAGUAGAUCAUUUUACUCUGCUUUUUUCUUUUUUCUUUUUUGAAAUACACCGUGAAUAGCCUGUAAAUGAAGCACAUGAAUAUUAUACUGAUCUGGCCAAACUUCAUUGAAUUGGUUUCUAGUUCCAAUUGGUGCAUCAUUGAGAUGUGGAAUCUAUAGAAUAUUGAUAAAUUGCAACACAGUAUGUAUUCUUUUGGUGAAUUUUAAGUGCCUCCCAUAUAAAAAUAGAGAAGGAAGAAAAUAUUGACUUGUAAUGCAUUUUAAACUUUUCUUGACUCGGAAGAAAAUUGGUUCUUUGCUUUGAGUUAUGCCAUUUCAUUUUAUGGAUUCCCCAAG